GAAGCGUGCCUGAGUUCCAAGGAUUACUUUGAUAGAGUAAAAUACAGAGCAUAAAACCUCUCGCUCCCU
rnacentral:tRNA from 1 species